rnacentral:rRNA from 1 species
AAUGAACGCUGGCGGCAGGCUUAACACAUGCAAGUCGAACGAGUGGCGGACGUGUGUGUAAUGUCUGGGAAACUGCCAGGAGGAGGGGGCCAACUACGGGAAACGGUGGCUAAUACCGCAUUCCACCGGAUGUUACCAGAUGGGAUUUGCUAGUAGGUGGGGUAAAGGCUCACGUGGGCGACGUUCCCUAUCUGGUCUGAGAGGUUGACCCGCCACACUGGAACUGAGACACGGCCCAGACUCCUACGGGAGGCAGCAGUGUGGAAUAUUGCACAAUGGGCGCAAGCCUGAUGCAGACAUGCCGCGUGUAUGAAGAAGGCCUUCGGGUUGUAAAGUACUUUCAGCCGGGAGGCGUUACCCGCAGAAGAAGCACCGGCUAACUCCGUGCCAGCAGCCGCGGUAAUUC